CUUUGAUUUCAGCCUUGUGAGACCCUAAACAGAGAACCGAGUUGAGCCAUGCCAGACUUCUGACCCACAGAAAUGGGAGAUAAUUCAUUUGUGUUCUUUUAAGUCACUGCAUUUAUGGUAAUUUGCUCUGCAACCAUAGAAAACUAAUGCAGUAACAGAAUAUGAUGAGUCUUUGUAUCUUAUGGGACCCAGGCCUCAGCUGUGGUGGGAGGCCCCAGCGUCCCGCGGACCUGGUGGUGUACAGCGGAUGCCAGUGGUAAAUGGUGAAGCAUGUUAAUGUGAGCCACCAGAACCUACAGGCUGAUGCAGUCUAGGGAAAUUGACUGCACACAUCUCCACAAAGUGCAGCUCAGCAAGACUGCUCUGGCCUGCCAAAGCCCCUGCUCCCGCAAUGUCCUCCAGCGCUUACCCCAGAAGGCAGGGCAAGUGUAGGGUCAGCUGGCUCGCCUCCCUCACUGAUCAUCCUUUGUGGCAGUUGUCCAAUGUCUGAGAAGCUGCUUCCCACAACUUUUUUCCUGGCUUCGUGGAACACGGAUAGUCAAUCUUUUGGAAGAUUAGCCCUGAGCUAACAUCUGCUGCCAAUUCUCCUCUUCCUGCCAAGGAAGACAGGCCCCGAGCCAACAUCUGUGCCCAUCCUCCUCUCCUUUUCAUGUGGGAUGCCUGCCACAGCAUGGCUUGACAAGCACUGCGUAGGUCCACAACCAGGAUCUGAACCAGCAAACCCAGGGCUGCAAAGCGGAGAAUGUGAACCUAACCCCUGUGCGACCUGACCAGCCCUUGAAAUUUCAAUCUUUUGAAGUUUGUUGAGAUGAUUUGUGAUCAAUCAUAUGGUCGGUUUUGGUAAAUGUUCUGAGGGUACCUUUAAAAACUAUGUAUUCUGAAAGUUUUGGAUGUUUUAUAUCGUCUUAUUCAUACGUACAGCACCAAUAUAUAGCAAAUAGCCGGAGCCCAAGGCAUACCAAAUUGACUAACUCAAAGGUUUUAUCCUAUUGUGGUGAUUCCAGACCAAGCAAGAGAGGAGGAGGAUGACAUCACAGGGGUGCAGGCAGAGAGAAAACUAUUCCAGGGAGCACGGACCUCACAGAGGAACCCCAAGUCACAGCAUUCAGGUUCCCCUAUUCCAACCAAUAUUAAUGCCAAUGCUUUAUGUGAUGUAAAUUAUCCCAAUGUUUUUCUUCCUCUGUUUCUACCAAUUUUCUCUUCAUUGGUUAUAAGCUCCGUAUCAAGAGUGUUUGACAGUGGGGUACUUGAGAUGGGAAAUAUCUUGGGAAAUCUUGAGAAAAGUUAAUGACGUUGAUUUAUAAAGCUCAUAGAGACAUAUAAGAAAUGGUUAAUUUUAUUUCUCCAUUUUUCUCCAAAAAUUCAUAAUUGCUUCUGAGAUUACAUGAGUUUAGAAGAUAUCUACUAUCUCUACCCAAAGGUCCCAUGUUUCAAGUAGAAUCAUUUUUAAUUUUCCCAGUUCUAGUGUCACUUUCUAUUUCUUACAAACAUUGCUCAAGGUCACAACUGUUAGUAACGUACAUCUUCUAACACAUUUAACUUCCCUAUCUAACCCUUCUGCCACUCUUGUGCUGGACCCUGAAAGUUUGAUUAUAGGAGGAAGCGAGGAAAGAGAUCUAGACAAGGCUGAUAGCACAUUCCGGAGGCUUAUAAGCUGCCUCGUGCGCCCCGCUGCAGAUCUCUUCAACCUCCGAGUCCAGCCACAGCUCUAGUGGACAGUUCUGGGCCGGUUUCACCCUGCUCUGUGCAGACAGUGCUGCCCUUCAGGGACCAAGAACCGAGCUUCCUGUCCCCAGGCUUCUCUGAUGCGGCACUGUGUGACGCUCUGGUACCAGGAGGCUCUCCUGUAUUUGCAACCCAUAGGGAUGGGGGAAUUAACGUCCCAUGGGAGCAGCCCUCAGCACACAGUACAGAGAAAUGCUUCCCCUGUUCGUCCCUCGGGCAGCCAGUUCUGAGAUAAAGUUUAAUAAGAAUCCUGAGGAGGUUCUGCGCUAAGUAACCACAACAGUAGCGGACC
rnacentral:lncRNA from 1 species